rnacentral:pre_miRNA from 1 species
UCUCCGUCCCGAAAUAAACCAAUCUUUCAUAUUUUUGAUUAUUUGUCUUAUUUAAAAAAAUUUACGAUUAAUAUUUUUAUUUUUAUUGAAUGAUAAAUCAUGAAUAGUAUUUUACGUGUAACUAAUUUUUUAAAAUUUAUUGAAAAAUUUUCAAAUAAGACGGAAGGUCAAACGCUGGACACAAAAAGUUGCCUUACU